UGCCAGCAGCCGCGGUAAUACGGAGGGUGCAAGCGUUGUCCGGAUUUAUUGGGUUUAAAGGGUACGUAGGCGGAUUUUUAAGUCCGUGGUGAAAGCCUACAGCUUAACUGUAGAAAUGCCAUGGAUACUGGAAAUCUUGAGUUCAGUUGAGGUAAGCGGAAUUUAUGAUGUAGCGGUGAAAUGCAUAGAUAUCAUAAAGAACACCUAUUGCGAAGGCAGCUUACUGGACUUGGACUGACGCUAAGGUACGAAAGCGUGGGUAGCAAACAGGAUUAGAUA
rnacentral:rRNA from 1 species